UACGGAGGGUGCAAACGUUGCUCGGAAUCAUUGGGCGUAAAGCGCACGUAGGCGGCUUGUUAAGUCGGAUGUGAAAGCCCAAGGCUCAACCUUGGAAGUGCAUUCGAAACUGGCGAGCUUGAAUAUGGACGAGGGUCGCGGAAUUCCCGGUGUAGAGGUGAAAUUCGUAGAUAUCGGGAGGAACACCAGUGGCGAAGGCGGCGACCUGGGCCAAUAUUGACGCUAAGGUGCGAAAGCGUGGGGAGCAAAC
rnacentral:rRNA from 1 species